UACGAAGGGGCUAGCGUUGUUCGGAAUCACUGGGCGUAAAGCGCACGUAGGCGGAUGUGCCAGUCAGGGUGAAAUCCCGGAGCUCAACUCCGGAACUGCCUCUGAUACAGCACGUCUUGAGUUCGAGAGAGGUGGUGGAAUUCCUAGUGUAGAGGUGAAAUUCGUAGAUAUUAGGAAGAACACCGGUGGCGAAGGCGGCCCACUGGCUCGAUACUGACGCUGAGG
rnacentral:rRNA from 1 species